GGUGGGGGAGAGGGGUCCGGGAUGGCCCCGGGGGCACCGCCCCGAGUGUGUAGGGUCGGGGCUGGGAGGGGGGAGCUGGGCGGCCCCGGGGUGCAGGAGGUGUGAGGAAAGUUCCUGAAGCGGUCAGGGGGGGUUUGGGGGUUGCUUGGGUCUGGUUGGGUUUAAAAAGGGGGAAAGGUUUAAAAAGGGGAGAUGUUUUAAAAGGGGAUACGCCAAGGGUAUGUGCAACCACCCCCUGUUGUUGCCAAGGGGGUCACUGGAAGGGCUAGGACUUGGGUAUGGCUUCCACAGUCAUGAUGUGACUUCACACCAAAAAGGGAGAAAAUGGUGUUUCUGCAUGGGGUCUGAUGUUUUACAGCACAGAAGCAUUGAGGUGUGGGGUGUGUUUGCCAGGAGGAAUACAAUGGGGUGUUUUGGGGUUUCCAUGUUUUUCCUCAGAGGUGUCUUUCUGUCUGCCUCCCGUGUGAUGGCAGCUUAAACCCCCAGCCGAGCCUCUGGUCAAAAGUCAUGAGACAAGUAAAAUCCUGCUUGAAAACAGCCUCGUGAAAGAAUACGUUGUGUGGUGUUUGGUUUUACAGCCCGGAGUUUUCGUCUUGAAUGCUUUCAAACUUUCCUCCAAAGCGCAGAGCAAAAUAAGUGUUUUCAUUAAUGGGAGCUGAGAUUAACAUCUAAUCAUCUGCUUUCAGGAAGCAAGGUUUAAAGAACACUGGAUAUUUCCAAUUAAUGAUAAAAAGAUAAGUUUGGACAAUAGUGCUUUCUUCAGAGUACAACUGUGAAGAAGGCUGACUGAGGGAAAACACCUCGAGACCAGUGCAGAAGUUCGUGAAGAGACAAAAUACUCGAAAAGGAUGAAACUAGAGAAAACCAGACUGCAUGGGGGCAGUUGAAGUAGAUACCAUAGCUUGCCCCUGUUUAUAGGUCUCAAAAGCUAUUUGACUAGCAACAGCUGAAGCACACUUAAAUCAGAGGGAGAGGCUGGAAAAAGCUUUGUCACACAGAGUUCUGCCCAGGUGUGGCUGUAGGAUUAAAUUCAACAUUGGUCUUCCAGAGAGAGAGGACUGUUUAGGUUUUGUAUUCCUUAGUUCACCAGCCACUGCUGGAGAAUGCAUUGCUUACGUUUUAGCCACUUUAGCACAGCUGUUAUCUCUUCUCAUCUCCAUUGCUCUGUCUCUUCUUCAUUCUUGAGGUCAUCUUCCUCAUUCCUCUCGCUCUGGUUGCCACGAUUGAGCCUAUAAUCCAAUGGUUUGGGGUAAGGUUGCAGGAACAGCACCCAGAGCGACAUAGAGCCUGUGGAGAUGCCUUACAAAGCCAACUAAGGAGCAAUAUGCUUUUUCUUUAGGAAGAGCCUGGAGAGCCUGGCCUUCCCUCAUCAGUCACUGCUUUGAUCACCUGCAUGUAGCCUGCUGCUCCCACACACCAACUCCUGUGCUGUGUCAGUCACACUGGAGGAGUUGGAAGGAGGAAAGAUGCUGAUGAGUCUGCGAAGAGCACAUCUGUGAUGACAGAAGAAUCCCUUUACUGUAGCUGGGUGAUGUAUGGAUAAGCAGCUCUAUGUACCUGUCUGUGGUGGGAAAGGCUCCUGCAGAGUAGCAAUGUAUCCCACUCAUUUCAAUUAAAUAUUCUAAGGGAGUAAGAGCGGUGUUUGGAGUUGAAUCUAAAAUACCGCUUUUAAGAGGUACAUAUUGCUGCAUUAAUCACGGUGAAAGUUCUUACACCCUCCCACCCUGCCUCGUUUCCUUCCCUGGGGGAGGAAAUAUCCCAGCAGAAACACAAAGAACUGGAGGAAGAAACUCGGUGUUGGAAUGGCACAGGCCCUUGGCUUCCGUGCCAGGGGAAGCUGGGACACGACAUUUGAAAGUUUCUCAGGAUCCCAGCUGACACAGAAGUGUAGGAGAAUGAUUCAGAGCCCCUGGUGUGGAGAGCAUGCCUCAGCCAGAUCCUAGCCCACGUGUGGAAAGUUCCUGGAGCAGUUCCUGCUCCUUUCCUCUUCAUCGCCAAGAGGGGAUCCUGAAACAGGUCUGUGGCUUAGCAGACCUUCCUCCUUAUAAUGCAGAAAGGAAAAGGAGAACUGGGAAAGGGACAAUGACACCGUGCUUGGGAAAUGUGUCAGUAGUUGAGCACUGAUUUGGAACCUUCUAUUUCACACUCUCAUGAGAGACAACCAAUUUAAUGGCAGGCCAAAUAAACACGCUUCUACUGAGCAAUUUGGCAAAUCAGCAGUUAAAUACAACGCAUCUCAUUUGUGUCAGAAGACUUUAUUAUGAAGUAUGCAUUCGUCGUACCCAGACAACUUCAGAGUUUCCCAAAAGUAGAGAAGAGAUGUAACAGUACACCAAUGAAAAUUGACAAAUUUAUGAACACCCACAAGAGAAAAAAAAAAAAGAAAGAAAGAGGCAACCUUAAAUACAGCUAUGAUGAUAUCAACCAUAUUACUGAAGUACAGUACGUUUUGCUUUAGAGGAUGGGGCAGGAAGUCCUGAUCUGAAUAAUAGGAAGGAACUCUUUCAUUAAGGGGCUGGUUUUUUGAUGGUAAUCAUAUGAAGCUGCUUAGGCAGAGCUGAAAUGCUACAAAAUAGAGAAAAUCAUGGAGAGAUGGGUUAGUAGUCAAAGCUACACUAUGAGCAUAAGGAACCAUUUGAUUCCUCUUGUCAGAUGUAUGUGUGUAUACAUAGGAUCAUAGAACGCGUUGGGUUGGAAGGCACCUACCUUAAAGAUCACCUAGUUUCAGUCCCCUGUGCCUUACCACCACCACUGUACACACAGUUUCCUUUUCCUUCUGCACUGAAUUUGAGGUUACUGGAAGCAAAACAACUAAAAACAACAAAGGAAGAAAGAAUGGUUUAGAAUAAUGGCAUUUUGCAUAGUACCAACUAAAUAGAUGCUAUAAAUAAAUAAUAGACACCUGCCUAUGCUUGUAACUUUCAAAAGAUGAGACACAGGUGAAAAACAACCACUUUUCUUGGGCAGCAUUCCUAGAAAGCACUCAGUAGAUAGAGGAUUUAGAAGCAAACCACACUGGGCCAUUGCCUUCUGCAGAAGAUGGUCACUAUUUUAGUGAAGGAGGAGAGUCUGGAAAGCCAAAGCUUGGCUGGAGCUGAAACAGAAAAAGAAUAAAUGUGAGGUGCAACAAAAAGGGCUUUUACAGAAGCAGCAGCAAAAGGAAGGUGAAGAAAAAUGUGGGAAGGAAAAUUUGCUGCAGAAUUAGUCACUGACCUAGUGAUAAAGAGCAAAGAAAAGGCUGAGAUUCUCAAUGCCUCAUUUGGCCUUUAUUGGAAGAAAAUCCUGCAUUUUCCUAGCUUCUGUGGCCAGUAGCAGAGUGCAGAGAAGGAGACUAGGAGGCUGCCCAUCCUGGUGGACAAGGGAAGUUCAGCAUGGGAAUUUCAACAGGUGUUGAAUUAGGGCUGCAUUAUCACUGUACCCAGCAGGUAUAUGCUCUCUGUGCGUCACUGGUGAGUCCACAUUUGAUAUCCAGUGUCCAGUUUGGGGUCCUCCAGUACAAGAGACAUAGAGCAGCCUAGAGCAAGGUCAGGAGAGGCUGCUAAGGUGGUAGGGGCUAGAGCAGGUGGUGUACAAGGAGAAGCUGAGGAAGUGGGUUUGACUGCAGCGGGAUCUAACUACAGUGGUCAUCUUCCCCAGGGCAAUCACAGAGAGAACAACACAAGGCUUCUCUUCAGGGUGCACACCAAGAGGACAAGAGACAAAAAUCAGAAGUUGCACCUGGAGAAAUUCCAACUGUGCACAGGAAAAAAAGUCAAAGUGAAAGUGGUCAUAUACUGGAACAGGUUUCCAGAGAGAUUGUGGAUUUCCCGUCCAUGGACGUACUAAAAACUGGACUGGGCAAGGCCUUGGUCAAAGCUCUGAGCAACCUUGUCUAGCUUUGAAGACAGCUAGAGGUAGAAUAAGUGACCUGCAGAGGAUCUCUCCCAACUUUAUUUUUUGCUAUGAUUCUAAAUAUACUUCCUGGAAGAAUCCCUGUGGUUUGAGGGAGCAAUAUUUGUGACUCAAUAAGUGUCAUGGCUCAGGGGUUACUGAUACUAUGCCCCAAAGCUUCCGUAAGGAUGCUGUGUUGGCAAAGAUAAGGGCAUUAGAGCUAUUGUUGCAACUUAAU